AACGAACGCUGGCGGCAGGCCUAACACAUGCAAGUCGAGCGAGACCUUCGGGUCUAGCGGCGGACGGGUGAGUAACGCGUGGGAACGUGCCCUUUGGUUCGGAAUAGCCCCGGGAAACUGGGAGUAAUACCGGAUAAGCCCUACGGGGGAAAGAUUUAUCGCGAAAGGAUCGGCCCGCGUUGGAUUAGGUAGUUGGUGGGGUAAUGGCCUACCAAGCCGACGAUCCAUAGCUGGUUUGAGAGGAUGAUCAGCCACACUGGGACUGAGACACGGCCCAGACUCCUACGGGAGGCAGCAGUGGGGAAUUGUAGACAAUGGGGGAAACCCUGAUCUAGCCAUGCCGCGUGAGCGAUAAAGGCCUUAGGGUUGUAAAGCUCUUUCAGUGGGGAAGAUAAUGACUGUACUCGCAGAAGAAGCCCCGGCUAACACCGUGCUAGCAGCCGCCGUAACAC
rnacentral:rRNA from 1 species